GACAUCCCCAUCUUCAGUUUCCUCGUACAACUGUCAAUAGAAUGAAAAUAGCCUCAAGAUGGACCAAAACCAACAAAAAAAGAAAGCAUAAAGCAGUGAAAUCCUAAAAUUUCUUUUAUCAGGUUUGUAAAGUUCAGAAGGAUAAAAUUAAGCCAUAUACUUAUCUCACAUAACAAUCAUGACCUCACUUUUUUAUGCCAAACAGCAUACAUCACCAAACAUGAGCAUAUUCUUUUCAGUUAUCACCAUAUAAACUCAGCAAAUGAAAUUUUGGAUUCACUUUAUUAAGUCUCAUUAUGACCACCACAACCACUUGGAAUAAUCUGUCUCACAUACUUGACCAUGGCCCAUUAAAUACAACAAAAAAUACGAAACAUGAUAGCAGGCCCCAUUUUGCAAAUUCACCUUUUCAUCCAAUGUGAUUGAAGC
rnacentral:misc_RNA from 1 species